AAUCAGCUCUGGAAACGUAGUGUGUGCAGAGGAAGAUUACAAGGGAAAUAGAAAAAGAAGCCAGGGUACAACAAGGGAAAACAAAAGCGAUGAAGGUAGGAUGAUCCCUUAGAGAAGACAAAGCAGAAAGCCUGAAGGAAGACAAACUAUUAAUAGCAAAAGUCCAAGAGAUUAUCCACCUUCAGGACCUGGCAAACAAUAACCAGAGAGCCGUCUGUGUAACAGCUCCACCUGUGAGAGAAAAGAAUGCUCCCCCUAACCAAUGCUGCAGAAGUGGCCUCUUCACAUCAAUUUCUAUCAACCUUCAAGUUCUUCAUGUGACAACUGAAGUGAGGUCCACUGUGAUGCUAUUCCAGGAUGCAGCAGACAGCACACCCCCAUUCCUUGGUUUGCACAAACUGGAAUCUGAGAGGUUAUCUUCGAACAAACAUCCAUGGUUGUUAUUUGGGAAAGCUCUAUUGUCUUUGUCUGAAGGUGUAUGAUACAGUGGAGAUGCUUCGCCCAUACAUAAUUCAUUCUAAGAGCAAAAGCAUUCAGGUCCUAAGUUCUCAGCAGAUGCAUUUGUUCCAUGCAGAAAAUAAAAUAUUCUAGCACCCUACCUCCACAUGAGGUUUAUUUUAUCCCUGAAUGAGAAAAAAGAAGCACAUUAAAUGAUAAUCAUGUGCUCAAUUUCAGGAUGUUAGACUCUCACUGUUGACCUUUGUACAGUAGCCUGUUUAUGGAAACAAAUCAUGGAGAAUGAAGGCAGCAGAUUAGGUCUCUAUAAAGGAAGAAGAAAGCUUUAGACCUAAGCAAGAGGCUAUGUUAAAAGAAGCUUGCUGCAUAAAUAUAUUUAGCCAGUAAGACAGUGAACUGGAAAACCAAAUUAGGUUCUUUAAUAUAAAAAUCUAAAGCUUAGUGGGAAAUGCUUAAAGAGAAAAUUCACUGAGCUAGGAGAGCGAUUUGUUAUAGGAGGCAAUCCAAUUGAACUGGUGGAGUUUGCUCUUUGUUUGAACGAAUACAGAAUAGAAUUAGGAGACCAGAUAAACUUCCACAGCUCUCAACUAAGGAUACUUGUGAGACAACCAGUCUUUAAGAACAAAUUUAAGUUGGAAGAGUAUCAAUUUUCUACUGUCAACCAAAGUGGAAAGGGGCAUGUUGAGACAAUGUCUAAUUUUAAAAAUAAAAUAUUAAAAUGCUGAACUUAUCACAUGAAUUUCCAAUACUGAGAUUAAAAAAGAAUGUGUGUCUAUUGCCA